rnacentral:misc_RNA from 1 species
GAUGAAGAACGCAGCGAAAUGCGAUACUUGGUGUGAAUUGCAGAAUCCCGUGAACCAUCGAGUCUUUGAACGCAAGUUGCGCCUCAAGCCAUUAGGUCGAGGGCACGUCUGCCUGGGCGUCACAUAUCGUUGCCUGAUGCCAGUUUCCUCGUGAUGGGUGACUGUGCAGGGCGAAUGAUGGCUUCCCGUGAGCAUUGUUGCCUCAUGGUUGGUUGAAAAUUGAGUCCUUGGUAGGGAGCGCCGUGAUAGAUGGUGGUUGAGUGACGAACGAGACCCAAUCAUGUGAGACCCCUACCGAAUUUGGCCUUCAUGACCCACAUGCGUCUUUGGAACGCUCAUGACGAGACCUCAGGUCAGGCUGGGCUACCCGCUGAGUUUAAGCAUAUCAAUAAGCGGAGGA